rnacentral:rRNA from 1 species
UGGGGAAUAUUGCACAAUGGGCGCAAGCCUGAUGCAGCGACGCCGCGUGAGGGAUGACGGCCUUCGGGUUGUAAACCUCUUUCAGUAGGGAAGAAGCGAAAGUGACGGUACCUGCAGAAGAAGCGCCGGCUAACUACGUGC